rnacentral:rRNA from 1 species
AUUGAACGCUGGCGGCAGGCCUAACACAUGCAAGUCGAACGAGUGGCGGACGGGUGAGUAAUGGCUUGGAACCUGGCUUAUGGAGGGGGAUAACUACGGGAAACGGUAGAUAAAACCGCUUAACAUCGGAUGGGCCCACGUGGGAUUAGGUAGUCGGUGGGGUAAAGGCUCACCAAGCCGACGAUCUCGAGCUGGUCUGAGAGGAUGACCAGCCACACUGGGACGGAGACACGGCCCAGACUCCUACGGGAGGCAGCAGUGGGGAAUAUUGCGCAAUGGGCGCAAGCCUGACGCAGCCAUGCCGCGUGAAUGAAGAAGGUCUUCGGGUUGUAAAGUUCUUUCGGUAGGGAGGCGUUAACUACAGAAGAAGCACCGGCUAACUCCGUGCCAGCAGCCGCGGUAAUAC